CCUACGGGUGGCAGCAGUGAGGAAUAUUGGUCAAUGGGCGGAAGCCUGAACCAGCCAAGUCGCGUGAGGGAAUAAGGCCCUACGGGUCGUAAACCUCUUUUGCCGGGGAGCAAGGGCGGGGACGUGUCCCGGCCCGGAGAGUACCCGGAGAAAACGCAUCGGCUAACUCCGUGACAGCAGCCGCGGUAACACGGAGGAUGCGAGUGUUAUCCGGGUUUAUUGGGUUUAGGGGGUGCGUAGGCGGGCUUUUAAGUCAGCGGUAAAAAUUCGGGGCUCAACCCCGUCGGGCCGUUGACACUGGGGGCCUUGAGUGGGCGAGAAGAAGGAGGAAUGCGUGGUGCAGCGGUGAAAUGCAUAGAUAUCACGCAGAACCCCGAUUGCGAAGGCAGCCUUCCGGCGCCCUACUGACGCUGAGGCACGAAAGUGCGGGGAUCGAACAGGAUUAGAUACCCUGGUAGUC
rnacentral:rRNA from 1 species